rnacentral:rRNA from 1 species
UACGUAGGGUGCGAGCGUUGUCCGGAAUUAUUGGGCGUGCGGGCGAUACGGGCAGACUGGAGUACUGCAGGGGAGACUGGAAUUCCUGGUGUAGCGGUGGAAUGCGCAGAUAUCAGGAGGAACACCGGUGGCGAAGGCGGGUCUCUGGGCAGUAACUGACGCUGAGGAGCGAAAGCGUGGGGAGCGAACAG